GCAACAGAAGGAGUCAUGGCUGCCAAAGUGUUUGAGUCCAUCGGGAAGUUCGGCCUGGCGUUAGUUGCAGGAGAUGUGAACUCUGCUUUAUAUAAUGUGGAUGCUGGACACAGAGCUGUCAUCUUUGACCGAUUCCAUGGCAUACAGGACAUUGUGGUAGAGGAAGGAACUCACUUUCUCGUCCCUCGAGUACAGAAACCAGUUAUUUUUGACUGCCGCUCUCGACCACGGAAUGUACCUGUCAUCACCGGUAGCAAAGACUUGCAGAACGUCAACAUCACACUGCGCAUCCUCUUCCGGCCUGUGGUGAGGACUAUGAUGAGCAGGUACUGCCGUCUGUCACCACAGAGAUCCUCAAGUCGGUGGUGGCUCCGUUCGAUGCUGGAGAAUUUAUUACCUAGCGAGUGCUGGUCUCCAGGCAGGUGAGCGAUGACCUCACAGAGCGAGCAGCAACAUUUGGCCUUAUCCUGGAUGACGUGUCCCUGACACAUCUGACCUUCGGGAAGGAGUUCACAGAGGCAGGAGAAGCCAAACAGGUGGCUCAGCAGGAAGCGGAGAGAGCCAGAUCUGUGGUGGAAAAGGCUGAACAGCAGCAGAAGGCAGCCAUCAUCUCCGCUGAGGGUGACUCCAAGGCAGCUGAGCUGAUCGCCAACUCGUUGGCCACAACAGACGAUGGCCUGAUUGAGCUGCGCAAGCCGGAGGCUGCUGAGGACAUUGGUACCAGCUCUCCCGCUCUCGGGAACAUCACAUACCUUACAGGAGGGCAGUCUGUGCUUCUCCAGCUUCCCCAGUAAGGUCGGCCGGGCCACGGCCUCCAUCAUGCUGAACCAUGCCUUCCCUUCUGCCCCACCUUAGAAAUCACUGUGAAAUUUAAUGAUUGGCUUAAAGUGAGGAAAAUAAAGUUCCAGAGAAUGGAGAUCUGGAUGAUGAUGCUGAGGCCAUCAUGGCUGCGGACUUUGAAAUUGGUCACUUUUUACGUGAGCGCAUAAUCCCAAGAUCAGUGUUAUACUUCACUGGAGAAGCUAUUGAGGAAGAUGACAAUGAUUAUGAUGAAGAAGGUGAAGAAGCUGAUGAGGAAGGGGAAGAAGGAGAUGAGGAAAACGAUCCAGACUAUGACCCAAAGAAGGAUUAAAACCCAGCCGAGUGCAAGCAGCAGUGAGCAGUGUGACUGGCUUUGAGGACGGCCUCCCUGGCCUACCUUCUGCUUUCCUGAAAAGAUGAAUAUACAUCAUUUGAACAUAAAAAAAAAGAAAAAGAAAAGAAAAGAAUAUGAUAUUAAGUCAAGGGGCCAAAAGAUCAGAAGGUGUUAAGAUCACUGGUAAAUUUUUGCCAUAUGUAUACUUCGGGGAUACUUAACAUUUUGUUAUGAUAUUCAGUACACUGAAAAUCUAAAGAACUUAUAU